CUGAAACAUCUUAGUACCCGGAGGAAGAGAAAGAAAAUUCGAUUCCCUUAGUAGCGGCGAGCGAAACGGGAAGAGCCCAAACCAACAAGCUUGCUUGUUGGGGUUGUAGGACACUCUAUACGGAGUUACAAAGGACGACAUUAGACGAAUCAUCUGGAAAGAUGAAUCAAAGAAGGUAAUAAUCCUGUAGUCGAAAAUGUUGUCUCUCUUGAGUGGAUCCUGAGUACGACGGAGCACGUGAAAUUCCGUCGGAAUCUGGGAGGACCAUCUCCUAAGGCUAAAUACUCUCUAGUGACCGAUAGUGAACCAGUACCGUGAGGGAAAGGUGAAAAGCACCCCGGAAGGGGAGUGAAAUAGAACCUGAAACCGUGUGCUUACAAGUAGUCAGAGCCCGUUAAUGGGUGAUGGCGUGCCUUUUGUAGAAUGAACCGGCGAGUUACGAUUUGAUGCAAGGUUAAGCAGUAAAUGUGGAGCCGUAGCGAAAGCGAGUCUGAAUAGGGCGUUUAGUAUUUGGUCGUAGACCCGAAACCAGGUGAUCUACCCUUGGUCAGGUUGAAGUUCAGGUAACACUGAAUGGAGGACCGAACCGACUUACGUUGAAAAGUGAGCGGAUGAACUGAGGGUAGCGGAGAAAUUCCAAUCGAACCUGGAGAUAGCUGGUUCUCUCCGAAAUAGCUUUAGGGCUAGCCUCAAGUGAUGAUUAUUGGAGGUAGAGCACUGUUUGGACGAGGGGCCCCUCUCGGGUUACCGAAUUCAGACAAACUCCGAAUGCCAAUUAAUUUAACUUGGGAGUCAGAACAUGGGUGAUAAGGUCCGUGUUCGAAAGGGAAACAGCCCAGACCACCAGCUAAGGUCCCAAAAUAUAUGUUAAGUGGAAAAGGAUGUGGCGUUGCCCAGACAACUAGGAUGUUGGCUUAGAAGCAGCCAUCAUUUAAAGAGUGCGUAAUAGCUCACUAGUCGAGUGACACUGCGCCGAAAAUGUACCGGGGCUAAACAUAUUACCGAAGCUGUGGAUUGUCCUUUGGACAAUGGUAGGAGAGCGUUCUAAGGGCGUUGAAGCAUGAUCGUAAGGACAUGUGGAGCGCUUAGAAGUGAGAAUGCCGGUGUGAGUAGCGAAAGACGGGUGAGAAUCCCGUCCACCGAUUGACUAAGGUUUCCAGAGGAAGGCUCGUCCGCUCUGGGUUAGUCGGGUCCUAAGCUGAGGCCGACAGGCGUAGGCGAUGGAUAACAGGUUGAUAUUCCUGUACCACCUAUAAUCGUUUUAAUCGAUGGGGGGACGCAGUAGGAUAGGCGAAGCGUGCGAUUGGAUUGCACGUCUAAGCAGUAAGGCUGAGUAUUAGGCAAAUCCGGUACUCGUUAAGGCUGAGCUGUGAUGGGGAGAAGACAUUGUGUCUUCGAGUCGUUGAUUUCACACUGCCGAGAAAAGCCUCUAGAUAGAAAAUAGGUGCCCGUACCGCAAACCGACACAGGUAGUCAAGAUGAGAAUUCUAAGGUGAGCGAGCGAACUCUCGUUAAGGAACUCGGCAAAAUGACCCCGUAACUUCGGGAGAAGGGGUGCUCUUUAGGGUUAACGCCCAGAAGAGCCGCAGUGAAUAGGCCCAAGCGACUGUUUAUCAAAAACACAGGUCUCUGCUAAACCGUAAGGUGAUGUAUAGGGGCUGACGCCUGCCCGGUGCUGGAAGGUUAAGAGGAGUGGUUAGCUUCUGCGAAGCUACGAAUCGAAGCCCCAGUAAACGGCGGCCGUAACUAUAACGGUCCUAAGGUAGCGAAAUUCCUUGUCGGGUAAGUUCCGACCCGCACGAAAGGCGUAACGAUUUGGGCACUGUCUCAACGAGAGACUCGGUGAAAUCAUAGUACCUGUGAAGAUGCAGGUUACCCGCGACAGGACGGAAAGACCCCGUGGAGCUUUACUGUAGCCUGAUAUUGAAAUUCGGCACAGCUUGUACAGGAUAGGUAGGAGCCUUUGAAACGUGAGCGCUAGCUUACGUGGAGGCGCUGGUGGGAUACUACCCUAGCUG
rnacentral:rRNA from 1 species